UGAGCCGAGAUGGCAGCAGUACAGUCCAGCU
rnacentral:piRNA from 1 species